rnacentral:tRNA from 1 species
GCCCGGGUGGCGGAAUUGGCAGACGCGCUAGACUAAGGAUCUAGUGGGAUAAUAUCCCGUGCUGGUUCGACUCCAGUUCCGGGCACCA